rnacentral:lncRNA from 1 species
UGGGAAGGUCACACGCACUAGCCCAGGCUGCAUUCCCAGGCACAGGGGAGGAUCCUCCCUUCUGCUGCCCUGCAUGGCAGGCCAGCAAUCUUGGGGCUGCCCUGGCCCGGCCUGGGGACGCCCACCUUGUGUCCUCCCCACGCCUGACCUGACUGAGACUGGCCGCCCAGAGGCUCCCCUUGGAGCACUCCCGCAGCUGGCUACUGUCACAGAGACGCAGACCUGCCUCCCCUGGGAAAGCCAGCCGGCAGGGCAGGGACUGACUCAUCCCUGGCAUCCUAGGGGGACGGGGGUUGUUGAAAGGUGUCCCCAGGGGUCCAUACGGACUUUGGAUGUGAUUCCAAGUUAUCCAAGCACAGCCAUUCCUGAGAAGCCGGGGACGGAACCAACAUCCAACUACUGGCCAGGAAAUGCUCGAUGUCUACUCCUCUACCAAGCAUUUAUUGGGCACCUACUGCAUACUCAGCACCGAGGGAGACUCCAAGGUACCAGCCACGCCAGGUCCUGGCCAGGUGCCACGAAGAUCCCACCCCGACGGCCCAAGGUGCAGGACAGCUGGGGAGCAGCCAAGGAGACGGUCAUCAGUAUCCCAUCUCCAUUUCAUGGGUUCGGAGCAGCUGCUGGCCCGGGGUCGCACAGUGGGGGCCAGGACGCCAACAUGCCGCCAGCACCCCAGGCCGUGCCCCAGCGAGCACCGUGUUAGAAGCUGGCACUUCCACACCUCCCAGGACACCCGAGUGUGUCACAAUGGGAGACCUCGGGUCCCCCACUCACUGUGGCUUUGACACUAUUGUGGGUGAGGGACUCCCCUGGCCACCUGUCACCCCAGGAGGAUGGGCACCUAGGGAAGAGCUCACCCCAGACUCUGUCACCGGCCCAGAGAUGAAACGCACCCUUGCAGAGGAGCCAACCGAAGAGCCAGAAGUGCUGCAGGCCAGGGCGACGUCGCUGACAGGUCAUGCGUGGCCUGCUCCGUGUCACACGGCUUUAACCAUAGCUGUGUCCGUCCAUCCAUUCCCCACUUGGCUGUAGAUCGGCGCUCGCAGUGUGUCCAGCACAGCGCCACACGCUGGGGGACUGGGCGGGCGGCCCUGCAAGCUCCCCGCCUUGGAGCUGAGGGUUGGGCACUCAGGCACAAGGCAGCC